UGAACGCUGGCGGCAUGCCUUACACAUGCAAGUCGAACGGCAGCACGGGUGCUUGCACCUGGUGGCGAGUGGCGAACGGGUGAGUAAUACAUCGGAACAUGUCCUGUAGUGGGGGAUAGCCCGGCGAAAGCCGGAUUAAUACCGCAUACGAUCUACGGAUGAAAGCGGGGGACCUUCGGGCCUCGCGCUAUAGGGUUGGCCGAUGGCUGAUUAGCUAGUUGGUGGGGUAAAGGCCUACCAAGGCGACGAUCAGUAGCUGGUCUGAGAGGACGACCAGCCACACUGGGACUGAGACACGGCCCAGACUCCUACGGGAGGCAGCAGUGGGGAAUUUUGGACAAUGGGCGAAAGCCUGAUCCAGCAAUGCCGCGUGUGUGAAGAAGGCCUUCGGGUUGUAAAGCACUUUUGUCCGGAAAGAAAUCCUUGGCUCUAAUACAGUCGGGGGAUGACGGUACCGGAAGAAUAAGCACCGGCUAACUACGUGCCAGCAGCCGCGGUAAUACGUAGGGUGCGAGCGUUAAUCGGAAUUACUGGGCGUAAAGCGUGCGCAGGCGGUUUGCUAAGACCGAUGUGAAAUCCCCGGGCUCAACCUGGGAACUGCAUUGGUGACUGGCAGGCUAGAGUAUGGCAGAGGGGGGUAGAAUUCCACGUGUAGCAGUGAAAUGCGUAGAGAUGUGGAGGAAUACCGAUGGCGAAGGCAGCCCCCUGGGCCAAUACUGACGCUCAUGCACGAAAGCGUGGGGAGCAAACAGGAUUAGAUACCCUGGUAGUCCACGCCCUAAACGAUGUCAACUAGUUGUUGGGGAUUCAUUUCCUUAGUAACGUAGCUAACGCGUGAAGUUGACCGCCUGGGGAGUACGGUCGCAAGAUUAAAACUCAAAGGAAUUGACGGGGACCCGCACAAGCAGUGGAUGAUGUGGAUUAAUUCGAUGCAACGCGAAAAACCUUACCUACCCUUGACAUGGUCGGAAUCCCGCUGAGAGGUGGGAGUGCUCGAAAGAGAACCGGCGCACAGGUGCUGCAUGGCUGUCGUCAGCUCGUGUCGUGAGAUGUUGGGUUAAGUCCCGCAACGAGCGCAACCCUUGUCCUUAGUUGCUACGCAAGAGCACUCUAAGGAGACUGCCGGUGACAAACCGGAGGAAGGUGGGGAUGACGUCAAGUCCUCAUGGCCCUUAUGGGUAGGGCUUCACACGUCAUACAAUGGUCGGAACAGAGGGUUGCCAACCCGCGAGGGGGAGCUAAUCCCAGAAAACCGAUCGUAGUCCGGAUUGCACUCUGCAACUCGAGUGCAUGAAGCUGGAAUCGCUAGUAAUCGCGGAUCAGCAUGCCGCGGUGAGUACGUUCCCGGGUCUUGUACACACCGCCCGUCACACCAUGGGAGUGGGUUUUACCAGAAGUGGCUAGUCUAACCGCAAGGAGGACGGUCACCACGGUAGGAUUCAUGACUGGGG
rnacentral:rRNA from 1 species